CAAAGAGUAGUUUAAUAAUAAAAUUAUAGCUUUGGGAGCUAUAGAUAGGAGUUGAAGUCUUCUCUCUUUGA
rnacentral:tRNA from 1 species